CCGGGGGCUAACGCCAGCAGUCAAGGUCUGCGCAGGGGUCGGCGCUGCACAAGCAGUGUUGUCAUUCCCCAGGACAGCAGCCCGCGAGACCGCAGGAGAAGCCUGAGCUCCUCUUCACGAUCACCCCCUGCUCUCCCUGCACCCCCAGCGCUGCAGGAUGAGGCCCUGGCUGCUAUGGGGGCUGGCGGCUGCAUUGGUCUUCGUGGUGGUGGCUGACACCGAUCGGAGGGAUGCCCCGGUGACGCCUGGUGAAGUCAAGGAGGAGGGUCAACGUUCACAGCUGGGCCUCAGCAGCACGGAAAAACACAAACCCAGAAGGCCCUGUUCUGGCUGCUUUUCUAUUCUGAGACCGGAUUCAGAGGCCACGGUCCGAAAGAGGAGGACACUCUACACAGCUGAAUCCACUAAUAGGACAAGCAGCCGUGGCCGCUUUACCCCUUUCAUUCAGAAGGCUACUAAGCCCCUCAACACACAGCAGGAGGAGGAACUACAUCGACAGAGGAGGGAACUCGAUGAGAGUCGGAAACCCAAACCCACCAGAAAGCCAUUCAGGCCCGGCUCCACGCACAUGUUCAGCUUGAAACCUGCCGACUGCCUCCAGGAGGAACUACAUAGACAGAGGAGGGAACUCGAUGAGAGUCGGAAACCCAAACCCACCAGAAAGCCAUUCAGGCCCGGCUCCACGCACAUGUUCAGCUUGAAACCUGCCGACCGCCUCCAGAAGCGCAACCUCCCGUUGAAAGUCAGGAGGGAGGUGACGAGGGCAAAGCCAACUGGUCUCGGAUCCCAUGUCCCCUGCUCCGGCUGCUACGGCCCCCUGAGCACCCCCAAGGACCAGCGCCAGAGGAGAGAUGUGCAGAUGUCUCAGCGACCCAGACCCACGAGAAAGCCCGAAUCCUCCGUGAGAGGCUCGGCAGAGACCUCUGCAGAGGGGCUGCUGAGCGCCAGGGCCAGGAAGGAGGACCGGCGGCCCGCAGCGGGGAAGCGCAAGGCCAAGGCGCGGGAGAAAAUGGCAAGCUACUGCGCCGGCUGCUACUCCAACCUCAUGCUGCGAAGCCCCCCGGCUGCCCCCGACGGGAAGGAGGGCAAGGGGUCGAGCAAACAUUAAUCGCUGCCCUUCCUGCCUUGCCACCGGGGCCUCUGUGUCUCCCACGGGGCAGCUAGGGAGCAGCCCAAACAGGAGCCUUCCCCUACCCGCUGAGCUUCGGGGCUCAGUUAAAAAGGAAACCAGAUUCCCCUCCAGACGUGCCCUGGUUUCCUGGCAUGAGAUGGAGCAGAAGCAAAUAUCUUUGUCUGAGUCCUGCCAGCCUCCCCACUGCCUUGUUCCUCACGGCAGCAGGCAGGAGGGCGCAGCCGUGCCGGGGCCCGGGGACCAGACUUGCUGCUGUCUGGUGCUCAAGGCUAAUCUGCUGCGCUUUGCAAAGCCACAUCAAUAAAAUCAGGUUGAGAAAGA